GGUGGACAAGGGCAAACCAGUCGAAAGGCUGGGACGCAAAGCGUUGAGUCCCUCUGGGAUGGUCGCGCUGCCCCC
rnacentral:ncRNA from 1 species